UCCCUCUGAAAAAAGAGGGAGAUGGACUCCUACUUGAGAGGAGUCUUAGAGUGCUGCAGCACCGGAGAGAGAGGAACUGAGAAGCUCAAAGACGUUCCGGAGCUGGACUGGGAUAGCCAGACGGAAUGUGGAGGGGGUGACCUUGGCUCCCCCACUGCUGCUGCCAAGCU